rnacentral:lncRNA from 1 species
CACACUUUCUGGAGCAUAUGGCUUUCAAGGGCACCAAGAAGAGAUCCCAGUUAGAUCUGGAACUUGAGAUUGAAAAUAUGGGUGCUCAUCUCAAUGCCUAUACCUCCAGAGAGCAGACUGUAUACUAUGCCAAAGCAUUCUCUAAAGACUUGCCAAGAGGUACUGAUUCCCAUCCCUGAGCUUGAAGCAAGAAUUGAUGCUGUGAAUGCUGAGACAAUUCGAGAAGUAUGUACCAAAUACAUUUAUAAUAGGAGUCCAGCUAUUGCUGCUGUUGGUCCCAUUAAGCAACUACCAGAUUUUAAACAGAUACGCAGUAACAUGUGUUGGCUUCGUGAUUAAAAUGCUCCUAAUCAAGAUUGUUUGAACACAUGUAUUUAUAAAACAGAGCUAGAGAAAAAUAAAAAUGAACAUGUAUAUACAUUUGGAAAUU